CGGCGGUGAGAGCGCCGAAUCCUAACCACUAGACCACCAGGGAAUCCAUUCAGACAAUCUACAGUAUGUAUUUUGUCGGUCACCAAUUCUAUGUCAAGUUUGGUCCAUCAUGCAGAUGCUGAGAUAGAAGAAGACUUUGUUAACGGAGAUCCUGUCUGCGGAAUCCAGCUACAUCCUUCAACAUGUGCAGCAGGAGGAAAUAGUUACUAAUCGUGACUACAACAACCUAAACAUCCCCAAUCAGUCCGAUGAGAAGACUGUCAUCAACCUGCUGGAUAAAGUGAUGAAUAAAGGAGACACAAAAUGCUGUGAACUCGUGAACCUGCUGCAGAAACCACAUAUUAUAAAAAACUACCCUAGACUGGAGGAAAUAUUCAACAACCACACAGAACCCAGUGACCACACCUUCAACCCAGCCCCAACAAUCCCAAUUCCCUGUACAGCUGUUCCUGUCCAGGAUCACGAUGGCUACAUAUCAUAGCUGCCUCGCAAAAAGAAGACACCCGCAGAGUUGGAAAAGAGGGAAAGACAUCCAUGCAAUCAUCACCCUGGUCAAUGCUGAAGUGAGCAAGAUGGAUGGCAAACUUCCUGUUUAGGAUAAAGAUGGGAAACAUAUUGGCUAUGAGAAGGUUAAGCAAUCACCAGAUUCCAGAAACACCCUGACCAAGACACUCAUCUUUCCUGCUGAGACCACUUAUACUUCAUAAUGAACUUUUGAUUUGUUAAUGAAACCCUUCAUCUGUCAACCAUCCAUUUGCUAAUUCUACUGUCAGAUGAAGGUUGUGAUAUGACAGGGUGCUUCCACACAGGCUGUGAAUAGGCCUAAUCAUAUGACGCCAGCUACAUUCCAGUGGUGACAUUUUCAUUUUAUCACUUUUAAAAUGAUGAGACAGGAACCACCAUUACUGUUGGUGUCUUUAUUUACCAGUUUGCUAUAUUUACAUGUAUGUGAUAUUUGAUAUUGUUUAGUUUCAUUUAAGGUAUAUAAGGCAGCUUAUAUGCCAUGUUAUGUGCCAUGUGCCAUGUUAUGUUAUUGAUGCUGAAUAUCACCAGGGAUAUACCAAAAGUUCUGUGACAUUGCUGCAGCUUAAUCAACACAACUAGGCUAUAUUUACUUUAACCAAAAUAGCAAUGUAUUUGAAAUGUGAAGAUAGAACACUGAAUCAUCAUGUUUUGUAAUCAAGUGGAGUUUCAUAGCAAGAAUACCAUUUUAUUGGUAUCUCAACCCAUAGUUUCAAGCUUACUUUAUUACAUGUUUUAAUGUUAUCCCAUCUACAAACGUUACCAUAACGUUUUCUUACCUGCCUUUCUUGUCACAUUUCAAUAUUUUAUACAUUUAUAAAUAAAUGUUUAUCUUUUGCCAACA